UUUCCGUAGGUGAACCUGCGGAAGGAUCAUUCAUAAUAAGUGUUUUAUGGCACUUUUUAAAUCCAUAUCCACCUUGUGUGCAAUGUCAGUCGAUCUUCUUCAUGGAGAUCGACCAAACAUCAACCUUUAUUUUUUAACUCUUUGUCUGAAAAAUAUUAUGAAUAAACAAUUCAAAAUACAACUUUCAACAACGGAUCUCUUGGCUCUCGCAUCGAUGAAGAACGCAGC
rnacentral:misc_RNA from 1 species